UACGUAGGUGGCAAGCGUUGUCCGGAUUUACUGGGUGUAAAGGGUGUGUAGCCGGGCUGACAAGUCAGAUGUGAAAUCCCGGGGCUCAACCCCGGACCUGCAUUUGAAACUGUUGGUCUUGAGUAUCGGAGAGGCAGGCGGAAUUCCUAGUGUAGCGGUGAAAUGCGUAGAUAUUAGGAGGAACACCAGUGGCGAAGGCGGCCUGCUGGACGACAACUGACGGUGAGGCGCGAAAGCGUGGGGAGCAAACAGG
rnacentral:rRNA from 1 species